AGUGAACGCUGGCGGCGUGCCUAAUACAUGCAAGUCGAACGGAGUGGCGCACGGGUGAGUAAUGUAUAGCUAAUCUGCCCUACACUAGAGGACAACAGUUGGAAACGACUGCUAAUACUCUAUAGUGUAGGAUGAGGCUAUAUUGUAUCAGCUAGUUGGUGAGGUAAUGGCUCACCAAGGCUAUGACGGAUAACUGGUCUGUGAGGAUGAUCAGUGACACCGGAACUGAGACACGGUGCAGACUCCUACGGAAGGGAGCAGUAGGGAAUAGUGCUAAGUGGGGGAAGCCCUGAAGCAGCAACGCCUGGUGGAGUAUGACACUUUGCGGAGCGUAAACUCCUUUUGUUAGGGAAACGGUACCUAACGAAUAAGCACCGGCUAACUCCGUGCCAGCAGCCGCGGUAAUAC
rnacentral:rRNA from 1 species